rnacentral:rRNA from 1 species
UAGUCCACGCUGUAAACGAUGUCGAUUUGGAGUUUGUUGCCUAGAGUGAUGGGCUCCGAAGCUAACGCGAUAAAUCGACCGCUGGGGAGUACGGCCGCAAGGUUAAAACUCAAAUGAAUUGACGGGGGCCCGCACAAGCGGUGGAGCAUGUGGUUUAAUUCGAUGCAACGCGAAGAACCUUACCUGGUCUUGACAUCCAUAGAAUUCUGCAGAGAUGUGGGAGUGCCUUCGGGAACUAUGAGACAGGUGCUGCAUGGCUGUCGUCAGCUCGUGUUGUGAAAUGUUGGGUUAAGUCCCGCAACGAGCGCAACCCUUAUUCUUUGUUGCCAGCGAUUUGGUCGGGAACUCAAAGGAGACUGCCGUUGAUAAAGCGGAGGAAGGUGGGGACGACGUCAAGUCAUCAUGGCCCUUACGACCAGGGCUACACACGUGCUACAAUGGCGUAUACAAAGGGAAGCGAAGGUGCGAGCUGGAGCGGAUCUCAUAAAGUACGUCUAAGUUCGGAUUGGAGUCUGCAACUCGACUCCAUGAAGUCGGAAUCGCUAGUAAUCGUAGAUCAGAAUGCUACGGUGAAUACGUUCCCGGGCCUUGUACACACCGCCCGUCACACCAUGGGAGUGGGUUGCACCAGAAGUAGAUAGCUUAACCGCGAGGGGGGCGUUCACCACGGUGUGAUUCAUGACUGGGGUGAAGUCGUAACAAGGUAACCA